rnacentral:rRNA from 1 species
UGGCUCAGGACGAACGCUGGCGGCGUGCCUAAUACAUGCAAGUUGAGCGCUGAAGGUUGGUACUUGUACCGACUGGAUGAGCAGCGAACGGGUGAGUAACGCGUGGGGAAUCUGCCUUUGAGCGGGGGACAACAUUUGGAAACGAAUGCUAAUACCGCAUAACAACUUUAAACACAAGUUUUAAGUUUGAAAGAUGCAAUUGCAUCACUCAAAGAUGAUCCCGCGUUGUAUUAGCUAGUUGGUGAGGUAAAGGCUCACCAAGGCGAUGAUACAUAGCCGACCUGAGAGGGUGAUCGGCCACAUUGGGACUGAGACACGGCCCAAACUCCUACGGGAGGCAGCAGUAGGGAAUCUUCGGCAAUGGACGAAAGUCUGACCGAGCAACGCCGCGUGAGUGAAGAAGGUUUUCGGAUCGUAAAACUCUGUUGGUAGAGAAGAACGUUGGUGAGAGUGGAAAGCUCAUCAAGUGACGGUAACUACCCAGAAAGGGACGGCUAACUACGUGCCAGCAGCCGCGGUAAUACGUAGGUCCCGAGCGUUGUCCGGAUUUAUUGGGCGUAAAGCGAGCGCAGGUGGUUUAUUAAGUCUGGUGUAAAAGGCAGUGGCUCAACCAUUGUAUGCAUUGGAAACUGGUAGACUUGAGUGCAGGAGAGGAGAGUGGAAUUCCAUGUGUAGCGGUGAAAUGCGUAGAUAUAUGGAGGAACACCGGUGGCGAAAGCGGCUCUCUGGCCUGUAACUGACACUGAGGCUCGAAAGCGUGGGGAGCAAACAGGAUUAGAUACCCUGGUAGUCCACGCCGUAAACGAUGAGUGCUAGAUGUAGGGAGCUAUAAGUUCUCUGUAUCGCAGCUAACGCAAUAAGCACUCCGCAUGGAGAACCCACG